GGUACAGACACAUGGAGAAGGUAGACAGACACAUGGAGAAGGUACAGACACAUGGAGAAGGUAGACAGACACAUGGAGAAGGUAGACAGACACAUGGAGAAGGUACAGACACAUGGAGAAGGUACAGACAGACACAUGGAGAAGGUACAGACACAUGGAGAAGGUAGACAGACACAUGGAGAAGGUACAGACACACGGAGAAGGUAGACAGACACAUGGAGAAGGUAGACAGACACAUGGAGAAGGUACAGACACAUGGAGAAGGUACAGACAGACACAUGGAGAAGGUACAGACACACGGAGAAGGUACAGACACACGGAGAAGGUAGACAGACACACGGAGAAGGUAGACAGACACAUGGAGAAGGUACAGACACAUGGAGAAGGUACAGACACAUGGAGAAGGUAGACAGACACAUGGAGAAGGUACAGACACAUGGAGAAGGUACAGACACAUGGAGAAGG